GGAUUGUGGCUCAGUGGUAGAGCAAUCACCUAGUACACGUGAGGCACUGGGUUCGAUCCUCAGCACCA
rnacentral:tRNA from 1 species